rnacentral:rRNA from 1 species
UACGUAGGGGGCAAGCGUUGUCCGGAAUCAUUGGGCGUAAAGAGCGCGUAGGCGGUCCGGUAAGUCUGCCGUGAAAGCCAGGGGCUCAACCCUUGGAUGCCGGUGGAUACUGUCGGGCUAGAGUCCGGAAGAGGCGAGUGGAAUUCCUGGUGUAGCGGUGAAAUGCGUAGAUAUUGGGAGGAACACCAGUGGCGAAGGCGGCUCACUGGACCGGAACUGACGCUGAGGCGCGAAAGCGUGGGGAGCAAACGGGAUUAGAUACCCGGGUAGU